rnacentral:lncRNA from 10 species
GCCCAGACUGGAGUGCAGUGGCGCAAUCUCGGCUCACUGCAAGCUCUGUCUUCCGGGUUCAUGCCAUUCUCCUGCCUCAGCCUCCUGAGUAGCUGGGACUACAGGCGCCCGCCAUUACGCCCGGCUAAUUUUAUUUUAUUUUAUUUUUAGUAGAGACAGGGUUUCACUGUGUUAGCCAGGAUGGUCUGUGUCUCCUGACCUCGUGAUCCACCCGCCUCGGCCUCCCAAAGUGCUGGGAUUACAAAAUGCGUGAGCCACCACGCCCGGCUGAUGGUUUUAUUAAUAUAAGGGACUUUAACCCUUUGCUCAGGACUUCUACUUGCUGCUGCCAUGUGAAGAAGGACAUAUUUGCUUCCCCUUUCACCAUGAUUGUAAGUUUCCUGAGGCCUCCCCAGCCCUGCAGAACUAAAAGCAAUUUUGUUAAUCACUUUAGCACCAAUUCUUGCAUCCCUGGCAAUACUCAGAACUGCUUCCAUCCAAGUCUUUGAUGUGGGAAAGAAACACACACACACUCUUUCGCAUGUAAUCUGAAAACAAUUCACCUCUUGCCAAUGAAUGCACAGCACUCCACUUUAAUAGAGAGCAAGUUCUGUGGAGGUUUCUAAUCCUUUCUGCCAAAGAAGAGAAGAGAGAGAAUCACUCAGCUUCUAUUGCAGAUGUGAAGUUUAGCAUUUCUUUGCUCACUCUUUUACUGGGAAACUCUUCUAGCGGAAAGCCUGUCAUCUGUUGUGAAGGAGAGCUGGUGUUGACUUGAAGCAACAGAGUUGGUGGUCCAGUGGCCAUUGUCCUGUGUUAGGAGCAGGUGGUCUCGCUAAGCUCCAUGUGUUUGGAAAUUUCUCUGACCAGUGCUUGUUCUGCUAAAGGAAGAAGAGCUCAAGCUGCACUCCUUGUUUCCAGGAUCCCAUCCAGAAUACAUUACCUUUAGUCAUCAUGUCUCCUGUGGCUCUUCUUGGCUGUGACAGUUUCUCAGCUUUCCCAGUUUUAAUGAACUUGCCAUUUUCAUCAGAUUGUACCAAGACCUACUAUCAAUAUGACUUAUGACUAGUGGUGCUGACCUUGAUCACCUGGCUGAGGUAGUUCUUGUCAGGCUUCUCCACUGUCGAGUUGCUCUCCCCAUCCCCCUUUUCCAUAUUGUACUCUUUGAAAGAAAGUCACUAUAUGCAGCCCUUCCUUAAAAAUAUUAAAAUGAACUAGCUUAAUUAAGUUCUUUCUUACAUUUAGGUGUAAAUACCUCUGAGGUUUUUUUCUUUUAAAAAAUGAUUAUCUAUGUAAUACAUACUCACUGCACAAGACUUUAAAAAUGCAAGAAAAGUAUAAAGCAGCAGCAAAUAGAACUACCCAUAAUUCCAUCUGUCACAAGCAACCAUUUCUAGCUUUUUGUCAUAUUUCCUUCCAGUUUUUUUUCUUCUGCAUAAAAUAACUAUUUUUAUUUCUAUUUAUUUAUUUUUUUGAGACAGAGUUUCACUCUGUCACCAGGCUGGAGUGCCGUGGCACAAUCUCGGUUCUCUACAACCUCCACCUCCCAGGUUCAAGGGAUUCUCCUGCCUCAGCCUCCUGAGUAGCUGGGACUACAGGCGUGCACCACCAUGCCCAGCUAAUUUUUGUAUUUUUAGUAGAGACGGGGUUUCACCAUGUUGGCCAGGAUGGUCUUGAUCUCUUGACCUUGUGAUCCACCCGCCUCGGCCUCCCAAAGUGCUGGGAUUACAGGCAUGAGCCAUCGCGCCUGGCCAAAAUAACUAUUUUUAAAUAGCACUUGCUUGAAAUUAUUUCAUAGGUGGUAAAAAUAUUUUAUCUUUGAAUAUGGCAAAGAAGAUGGAUUCAUAUAAAACCAGAGCAGAUCUUGGUGGUACUUCAAGAUAUAAACUACCAACCCAAUAGAUAAUUUCUGAAAAUAACAUUUUAGAGUCUCUUCCUCUAUUUUUGAGAAGCUUGAAUAUUUACAAAUACAGCAUUCACUGUGAGACUUCUUGUUUCUUUUCCUUUCUAAGACUUUUAACUUGUUGUUUAUUUUACUAUUACAUGAAACACAUUUUAUUUUAAUUUUUAAAGUUUUAGUGUUUUUUGAGACAAGGUCUCAUUCUGUUGCCCAGUUUGGAGUGCAGUGGCAUGAACAUGGCUCACUGCAGCCUCAACUUUUUGGGCUCAAGUAAUCCUCUAGCUUCAGCUUCACGAGUAGCUGGGACUACAGGUAUACACCACCACACCUACCUAAUUUAUUCUUACAGUUUUUAGAGACGGGGGUCUCGCUGUGUUGCCCAGGCUGGUCUUGAACUCCUGGGCUCAAGCAAUCUUCCUGCCUCAGCCUCCCAAAGUGCUGGGAUUACAGGGAUGAGUCACCAUACCCAGCCUUAUUUAAAUAAGGUUUGAGGAAACUUGGGUAGCUGGUUAAAACUCUGGCAAUGAUCUAGGUUUCAAAUCAUCAAAUUCCUUUUUGCAUGGUGUAUAGACUCAUGACAACUCUUAUUUUUUUAAAGACUUUAUUUUGUACAUGCUUCUUAUUAAAAAAUUAAUACAGAAAAGUACAAAGUAAAAUCCCAAAAUUCUAUCACCUAAAAAAACCAUUAUUAACAUUAUUCCACAAACCUUCCCUUUGCAUAUAUACACAGAGAGAUAAAUUUACACAAAAGGCUCACACAUACCAUACAUAGUUACUAAAUGAGGAUGAAGCAAAAUGAAGAAAUUGAAGAAAAUGAAGCUGAAACAAAAUGAAGGAAUUACCAAAUUUUAGCUAAAUGUUCUUUUGCAAGACACUUUAGUUCCUAACAAUCCCUUUGAAGUUUUGAAAAAAGAUUAUGAAAAGCAUUAAGAGUUUGAAAGUCUACAUAAUUAACUUUUUUUUUUUUUUUUUUUUGAGACAGGGUCUUGCUCUGUUGCCCAUGCUGGAGUGCCUUGGUGUGAUCAUGGCUCACUGCAGCCUUGACCUCCCAGGCUCAACUGGUCCUCCCACUUCAGCCUCCGAAGUAGCUGGGACCACAGAUGUGUGUCACCAAGCCCGGCUAAUUUUUUAAAAUUCUUUUGUAGAGACAGGAUCUUCCAGUGUUGCCCAGGCUGGUCUUGAACUCCUGGAGGCUGGUCUUGAACUCCUGGGCUCAAAAACAAUCCUCCUACCUCAGGCUUCCAAAGUGCCAGGAUUACAGGUGUGAGCCACCGUGGCUGGCUGGAAAACUCUUCUAAUAGUGGCUGGCAUGUAGUAAGUGCUUAUAGUAAAUGUAAGCCAAUGCUAUUAUAGAGGAAUAAUGGUGAGCAUCUGGGCCCACGUAUGAUAUUGAAAUCUGUCACUCACAAAAUAAUCUCUUUGUCUCUCAUUCAUCUCAGAAUAAUUUUCCUGUUAAAUCUACCAGCUCCUGAGGGGCCCUGAGGGUAUAACCAAUGAGUAUGUGGGCACCAAUGUAAUGAAUGUGUGAAUAGGUGAUUCUGUCAUCUGUUUAUAAGAAUGACCAGAAUACAAAAUUCUAGCCUUUUUACAAUCCUAAACAUAUACUAUGUGCUACCAAUAACAGCAACAAUCACCAUCAUGCAUGUCACUUACAUGUACACACUAACAUAAAGAACUUUAUAUCUCUGCUUUAAAAUCCUCUUUAAAAGUAAACUAUUAGCCUGGGUAACAUGGUGAGACCUUGUCAAUGAAAUAAAAAAAUUAGCCAGGCACCUGUAGGCCCAGCUGCUCUG